rnacentral:tRNA from 1 species
AGGAAAGGGAGGGGAUUCGAACC